CAAAUAUUUUAUAAAAGUUAUUAUACAUGUUGUGUCUCAAAGGGUUUUUAAAUUUAAAUAAAAGGAAUUUUUUUUUUCUUAGAGAAAAUUCUAGGAAAUUAUCAUGCAGAUUUUUUAAAACUUUUAUGAUCUCAUAGUAUCAUUCACUUUUCAAGUUAUAUGUAUAAACACACCUUUUUCUAUCCUUCAAAUUAACUUUUUUUUCUACAUUAAUUCAGCGAGUAAUUAAAUUUUCCAUCACAAAAAAUUCCAUAUUUAAAUUGUCGUGGGCUGUAUCCAGAAACAAUGGCAUGUUUAUAU
rnacentral:lncRNA from 1 species